UAAUCUACCCAAUCUUAUAAUAAUAGUAC
rnacentral:sRNA from 1 species